rnacentral:rRNA from 1 species
CAGGCUUAACACAUGCAAGUCGAGGGGCAGCAUGGUCUUAGCUUGCUAAGGCCGAUGGCGACCGGCGCACGGGUGAGUAACACGUAUCCAACCUGCCGUCUACUCUUGGACAGCCUUCUGAAAGGAAGAUUAAUACAAGAUGGCAUCAUGAGUCCGCAUGUUCACAUGAUUAAAGGUAUUCCGGUAGACGAUGGGGAUGCGUUCCAUUAGAUAGUAGGCGGGGUAACGGCCCACCUAGUCUUCGAUGGAUAGGGGUUCUGAGAGGAAGGUCCCCCACAUUGGAACUGAGACACGGUCCAAACUCCUACGGGAGGCAGCAGUGAGGAAUAUUGGUCAAUGGGCGAGAGCCUGAACCAGCCAAGUAGCGUGAAGGAUGACUGCCCUAUGGGUUGUAAACUUCUUUUAUAAAGGAAUAAAGUCGGGUAUGCAUACCCGUUUGCAUGUACUUUAUGAAUAAGAAUCGGCUAACUCCGUGCCAGCAGCCGCGGUAAUACGGAGGAUCCGAGCGUUAUCCGGAUUUAUUGGGUUUAAAGGGAGCGUAGAUGGAUGUUUAAGUCAGUUGUGAAAGUUUGCGGCUCAACCGUAAAAUUGCAGUUGAUACUGGAUAUCUUGAGUGCAGUUGAGGCAGGCGGAAUUCGUGGUGUAGCGGUGAAAUGCUUAGAUAUCACGAAGAACUCCGAUUGCGAAGGCAGCCUGCUAAGCUGCAACUGACAUUGAGGCUCGAAAGUGUGGGUAUCAAACAGGAUUAGAUACCCUGGUAGUCCACACGGUAAACGAUGAAUACUCGCUGUUUGCGAUAUACGGCAAGCGGCCAAGCGAAAGCGUUAAGUAUUCCACCUGGGGAGUACGCCGGCAACGGUGAAACUCAAAGGAAUUGACGGGGGCCCGCACAAGCGGAGGAACAUGUGGUUCAAUUCGAUGAUACGCGAGGAACCUUACCCGGGCUUAAAUUGCAGAUGAAUUACGGUGAAAGCCGUAAGCCGCAAGGCAUCUGUGAAGGUGCUGCAUGGUUGUCGUCAGCUCGUGCCGUGAGGUGUCGGCUUAAGUGCCAUAACGAGCGCAACCCUUGUUGUCAGUUACUAACAGGUUCCGCUGAGGACUCUGACAAGACUGCCAUCGUAAGAUGUGAGGAAGGUGGGGAUGACGUCAAAUCAGCACGGCCCUUACGUCCGGGGCUACACACGUGUUACAAUGGGGGGUACAGAGGGCCGCUACCACGCGAGUGGAUGCCAAUCCCCAAAACCUCUCUCAGUUCGGACUGGAGUCUGCAACCCGACUCCACGAAGCUGGAUUCGCUAGUAAUCGCGCAUCAGCCACGGCGCGGUGAAUACGUUCCCGGGCCUUGUACACACCGCCCGUCAAGCCAUGGGAGCCGGGGGUACCUGAAGUGCGUAACCGCGAGGAGCGCCCUAGGGUAAAACUGGUGACUGGGGCUAA